rnacentral:rRNA from 1 species
UACGGAGGGUGCGAGCGUUGUUCGGAAUUAUUGGGCGUAAAGAGCUCGUAGGCGGUCUGUCACGUCGGCUGUGAAAACCCGAGGCUCAACCUCGGGCCUGCAGUCGAUACGGGCAAACUAGAGUGUUGCAGGGGAGACUGGAAUUCCUGGUGUAGCGGUGAAAUGCGCAGAUAUCAGGAGGAACACCGGUGGCGAAGGCGGGUCUCUGGGCAACAACUGACGCUGAGGAGCGAAAGCGUGGGGAGCGAACAGG